AAAAAGCAGGAAGAAGAACGCAACUAUUAGGUGGUUUGCAGGCAUUUUUUUUUUUUUUUUUUUUUUUUU
rnacentral:ribozyme from 1 species